GGGGGCGAACUGGUUUCGACGGAGGUAAUGAGACACAGGUUGCACGUCGAGGUCCCACCCACCUCGCUAAACAGGUGGAAACAAUUUAACUGCAGAACCUCUAGCAGUCGCGGCCUAAGAGAAAGGCACGCCGUUCCCGGGAUCCCCUCCCGCAGGGUUUCGGGAGCGUCAAACGGGCGGGAUAGCGAGCCGGUCCGGCUUCGAGGCCGGGGAGCGAACCACCAUCGGGGCUGGCCUCGCGGCGCUUUUCCUCUUCGAGCGCCGGGGGGCGAGAACAAGGAAGAGGAUAAGCGUGUAGAGACCUGAUGUGGAAUGCUUUCGGACGCGGGUUCGAUUCCCGCCGCCUCCACCA
rnacentral:tmRNA from 1 species